AGUUUUUUUUUUCCUUUAUAUUGACAGAGCAUUUACAGAUACCAUACAUCCAAAUGGAAGCGAGUGUGUGAAUGGAAUAUGAGUGAACACACAGGAGGAAUUGGUUCCCACUUGACCAUGGUGCAGAAACACAUUCCAAACAAACACGCUCCACAUUCAUAUGUAGGCAGCCAAGCUUUGUCCGGAUUUAUUUAGGAUAGAUGUUUACAAAUUCCAGUUACAAAAUUUGAAGCUUAAUAUAAUCACAAUACUUUGAUUUGAUAUAGUUUAGGGUUUUAUCCCGGUAUGAUAUAGCAAGUGUAAUUAUGUUUGUCUCAUUUCUUCUUUGUAAUUGAUUGUGAUUAAUUGAGCAUAACAUCUUUAGACUGAAAGCGGCGACAGCAUUACUAGUAUUUUGAAUGCCAUAAGCCGGCUGUUCUGAUAAUGUGCUGUAAGGGAGAGGAGGUGACGUAAAAAUGGCAAGAGUGCAGGGCAACUUGGAUGAAAAAACUGCUGCUUGAGACAAAAGGCAGGACUAAAAAACAUCUUAGAAUACCCUGCUGCUGCAAUGCCAGAGACUGACGUGCGAUGGAUUUUUAAUGUAUAGAGUAAGUUUAUUUAUGGGUGAUGUUGUGUGACUGUGCAACUGGAUAAAUGACAAAGACAUCAAAUGAAUGAUGCAAAAGUUUAUUAGGAGUGGAUGGUUGUAACAUGAACAAGCUGCCGACAGCAUAACUAGAACAUACACGGUUGCGGUCUUGGCAUUGUCUCUAUUCUAGUAUGCAGAGCGGAAAGCAAGUUGCAUAUUGAAUAAUUAUAAUGUUCCAGAAA